UCCCAAAUCAGCCUUCUCAAUCAUAGGAAACUACCAGCAGCAGAACUUUCAUAUACUCUACGAUACAAAGAGGUCCAGGCUCGGGUAUGCACCUACAAAGUGUGCUGAUAUAUAAACCUUUCUUGUCGAUUAGACAGAUUUAAACUCCAUCAAAGCAACUGUACACAACAAUAAGAACAGAUUCUUUUUUUUUUUUUUUUUUUCCCUUUAGAUUUAUUCAUUCUUUAGGAUAUUCCUUUUAAACAUGUAUUGCUGUAGAACAAACAAAGAUCAUAUACUAAACUAAUGUACUUAUUCAACUUUCUUUUCUGAAUAUAAAGUGAGUUACAUUUCGCUUGCUAUAUGUAUUUCCUCCAACUAAAUAUAUAGUCUAACAUCUUCUAAGGCAAGAGUUGGACAAAACCAGUUACAGACUUACAGUACACUAUGGUGAAUUUGUAAUCUCUGCCAUUGUCAAAGGACGAUAGUAAUCCCUAAAUGGGAGUUUGAAAGAACUCCAAAAUUAAAUUAUAAAGAAACUGGAAAAGAAAGAAGCUUCAGGAUAUUGCGGAACACAAACCAUACAAAAGGGAGCGGAUUGUGUACCUACUUGUGAAAUGUCGGUGAGGAGAGUUGCGGAGAAGGAGGUGUCUCCAGGUCUUUUACAUUGAGGCGAAGAUGAAGAAUGGUUUGAAAUUGGGUGAAGACGGAAGAGAACUCGAGAAGA
rnacentral:lncRNA from 1 species